rnacentral:rRNA from 1 species
GACGAACGCUGGCGGCGUGCCUAAUACAUGCAAGUCGAACGCAUUUUCUUUCACCGUAGCUUGCUACACCGAAAGAAAAUGAGUGGCGAACGGGUGAGUAACACGUGGGUAACCUACCCAUCAGCGGGGGAUAACACUUGGAAACAGGUGCUAAUACCGCAUAAUUCCAUUUACCGCAUGGUAAAUGGAUGAAAGGCGCUUUUGCGUCACUGAUGGAUGGACCCGCGGUGCAUUAGCUAGUUGGUGGGGUAACGGCCCACCAAGGCUGCGAUGCAUAGCCGACCUGAGAGGGUGAUCGGCCACACUGGGACUGAGACACGGCCCAGACUCCUACGGGAGGCAGCAGUAGGGAAUCUUCGGCAAUGGACGCAAGUCUGACCGAGCAACGCCGCGUGAGUGAAGAAGGUUUUCGGAUCGUAAAACUCUGUUGUUAGAGAAGAACAAGGAUGAGAGUGGAAAGUUCAUCCCUUGACGGUAUCUAACCAGAAAGCCACGGCUAACUACGUG